rnacentral:rRNA from 1 species
UUGUUGGUGAGGUAAAGGCUUACCAAGGCUUCGAUCAGUAGCUGGUCUGAGAGGACGGCCAGCCACACUGGGACUGAGACACGGCCCAGACUCCUACGGGAGGCAGCAGUGGGGAAUUUUGGACAAUGGGGGCAACCCUGAUCCAGCCAUGCCGCGUGAGUGAAGAAGGCCUUCGGGUUGUAAAGCUCUUUCAGCCGGAACGAAACGGUUACGAUUAAUACCCGUAACUACUGACGGUACCGGAAGAAGAAGCACCGGCUAACUACGUGCCAGCAGCCGCGGUAAUACGUAGGGUGCGAGCGUUAAUCGGAAUUACUGGGCGUAAAGCGUGCGCAGGUGGUUUUGUAAGUCAGAUGUGAAAUCCCCGGGCUUAACCUGGGAACUGCGUUUGAAACUACAAGGCUAGAGUGUGGCAGAGGGGGGUGGAAUUCCGCGUGUAGCAGUGAAAUGCGUAGAGAUGUGGAGGAACACCGAUGGCGAAGGCAGCCCCCUGGGUCAACACUGACGCUCAUGCACGAAAGCAUGGGGAGCAAACAGGAUUAGAUACCCUGGUAGUCCAUGCCCUAAACGAUGUCAACUAGUUGUCGGGUCUUAACGGGCUUGGUAACGUAGCUAACGCGUGAAGUUGACCGCCUGGGGAGUACGAUCGCAAGAUUAAAACUCAAAGGAAUUGACGGGGACCCGCACAAGCGGUGGAUUAUGUGGAUUAAUUCGAUGCAACGCGAAAAACCUUACCUACCCUUGACAUGUAUUGAAACCCGCAGAGAUGUGGGUGUGCCCGAAAGGGAACGAUAACACAGGUGCUGCAUGGCUGUCGUCAGCUCGUGUCGUGAGAUGUUGGGUUAAGUCCCGCAACGAGCGCAACCCUUGUCAUUAAUUGCCAUCAUUUAGUUGGGCACUUUAAUGAGACUGCCGG